UACGGGGGGGGCAAGCGUUGUUCGGAAUCACUGGGCUUAAAGGGCGCGUAGGCGGGCUAUCAAGUCCGGGGUGAAAUCCUCCAGCUCAACUGGAGAACGGCCUCGGAUACUGAUGGUCUCGAGGAGGAUAGGGGCACACGGAACUGUGGGUGGAGCGGUGAAAUGCGUUGAUAUCCAUAGGAACUCCGGUGGCGAAAGCGGUGUGCUGGAUCCUUUCUGACGCUGAUGCGCGAAAGCCAGGGGAGCAAACGGG
rnacentral:rRNA from 1 species